rnacentral:rRNA from 1 species
CUAUCAUUAACUGAAUCCAUAGGUUAAUGAGGCGAACCGGGGGAACUGAAACAUCUAAGUACCCCGAGGAAAAGAAAUCAACCGAGAUUCCCCCAGUAGCGGCGAGCGAACGGGGAGGAGCCCAGAGCCUGAAUCAGUGUGUGUGUUAGUGGAAGCGUCUGGAAAGGCGCGCGAUACAGGGUGACAGCCCCGUACACAAAAAUGCACAUGCUGUGAGCUCGAUGAGUAGGGCGGGACACGUGGUAUCCUGUCUGAAUAUGGGGGGACCAUCCUCCAAGGCUAAAUACUCCUGACUGACCGAUAGUGAACCAGUACCGUGAGGGAAAGGCGAAAAGAACCCCGGCGAGGGGAGUGAAAAAGAACCUGAAACCGUGUACGUACAAGCAGUGGGAGCCUCUUUAUGGGGUGACUGCGUACCUUUUGUAUAAUGGGUCAGCGACUUAUAUUCUGUAGCAAGGUUAACCGAAUAGGGGAGCCGAAGGGAAACCGAGUCUUAACUGGGCGUUAAGUUGCAGGGUAUAGACCCGAAACCCGGUGAUCUAGCCAUGGGCAGGUUGAAGGUUGGGUAACACUAACUGGAGGACCGAACCGACUAAUGUUGAAAAAUUAGCGGAUGACUUGUGGCUGGGGGUGAAAGGCCAAUCAAACCGGGAGAUAGCUGGUUCUCCCCGAAAGCUAUUUAGGUAGCGCCUCGUGAAUUCAUCUCCGGGGGUAGAGCACUGUUUCGGCAAGGGGGUCAUCCCGACUUACCAACCCGAUGCAAACUGCGAAUACCGGAGAAUGUUAUCACGGGAGACACACGGCGGGUGCUAACGUCCGUCGUGAAGAGGGAAACAACCCAGACCGCCAGCUAAGGUCCCAAAGUCAUGGUUAAGUGGGAAACGAUGUGGGAAGGCCCAGACAGCCAGGAUGUUGGCUUAGAAGCAGCCAUCAUUUAAAGAAAGCGUAAUAGCUCACUGGUCGAGUCGGCCUGCGCGGAAGAUGUAACGGGGCUAAACCAUG